UGCCAUUGCACAAUUUUGGUGGAGCUCGAAUCCACCAAAGAGAGGAAUACACUGGGCGAAAUGGGAAAAAGUCUGUCUACCAAAAGAAGAGGGCGGGAUUGGUUUCCGUUUGAUCCAUGAAUUUAAUCUAGCACUAUUGGCAAAGCAACUUUGGAGAUUGACUCAGUACCCUGAUUCACUGGUUGCCCGAGUUUUGAGAGGCAGGUACUAUAGGAUGACCUCGCCAUUACGAGAAGUCUCUGCAAGUAACCCAUCAUAUGUGUGGACAAGCAUUUAUGCUGCAAGAAAGCUUUUGCUUCUCGGGAUCAGACAGAAGAUUCAUUCUGGUUAUGAGAUCAAGGUGUGGGAGGACCAAUGGAUCCCAACGAUACCUGCUAGACCAGCUACACCUGUAGCACCUGUAAUGCAUCCGAAUAUGAGAGUUAGUGACCUCAUUAACCAAGAAUUGAAGGAAUGGGAUGUAGGGCUACUAGAGAAUUAUGUCCACCCCGAUGACAUACCACUCAUUCGUAGUAUGGCUAUAAGUUCUGCCCAUCGCCGUGAUACCUUCUGCUGGAACUACACGAAGAAUGGCCAAUACACUGUUAAAUCUGGAUACUGGGUUGCUCAAAACCUGAUGAAGCCAGAAGAGGACAAGAAAAUACUGGAACCAAGUAUUACUAAACUCCAAGCCUUUGCUUGGACGUUGAAAGCACCAAGAAAGAUGUGUCAUCUUAUAUGGCAAUUGAUAACGGGUCAGGUGGCAGUGACGAGGAAUCUCGCAAGGCGGAAUAUGAGGUGCGAUAAUUAUUGCCCAAGGUGUGGAGAACUAGAGGAAUCUGUAACACAUGCAAUAUUUGAAUGCCCUCCGGCUCUCCAAGUGUGGUCCUUAUCAGCAACUCCUACGAGCACAGGUAUAUUCCCAGUGGCCAGCGUCUACACAAACAUGGACUAUCUAUUCUGGAGGAAGAAUGAAAUCUUAGCGCCAGACCAAGACAGGGAUCCUUAUCCCUGGUUAAUAUGGUAUAUUUGGAAGGCUCGUAAUGACAAACUUUUUAGGGGAAUAGAUAGAGACCCCUUGGAACUAGUUCGAUAUGCAGAAAGUGAAUGUCAAGCCUGGUUCAUUGCAAACGAGAUG
rnacentral:lncRNA from 1 species